UGAUAUAAAAAUUAGUGCUGGAAUAACCCAACUUAUGCCUUAAACCAAACGACCCCUAAGAGUAGCCAAUAGCAUUUCCCAAUAACAUGAAAUUCCAUGAAAUAACAAAACUUUCCCAGCAAAGUAGUAAAUAACCAGAAAACAAAUUCAGUACCUUCAAACAGAAGUAACCAGAAAUAAAGAAUAAAUAACCAGAAAGUAGCAGUGAUUCUAUCCCAAUCAGAAGCCAGCAGUUGCAGAAGGAUACCAAAUUGAAAAUGAACCUAGAAGUUGCACACAAAUUCUCCGAAUAGUGGUUUAACACCAGACGAAGCCUGGGGUACGCCGGAACUGAAGAUUCUACACCGGAAAUUCAAUUCCGGAACAAUUCUACCGAAGCACGCGCUAGCGCGUGAUGGACAGGCGGGAGAUAGAGGUGGCGCGUGAAGUCCACUCUCUUCACACCAAGUCGCCGGAGAAGGCUGGUUCGGCCAGAAAAGAUGAUCCGUCUCUUCCUAUGGCGGUGGUGACACAAAAUAACCACUUUAAAGUGAUCGAUCCCAAAUCCGAGGCUGUUUGUGUAAGACAGCAAAACAAGAUCAAUCUUGCCUUUAUAAACCGAGCCGAAGUAGGAUCGAGGAGCCUGUAAGCUCUGAUACCAUGUAAUUGAAUUGAAAAAGAAGAUUAUUUAUUCCAACAGGCAAGCAAGGCAUAAAUACAAUACAUCAGGUUCUAACUUAGGAAAGAAAAUAAAGACUGAUUCCUACAAAUCUGCUACCUAAUUAUGCUAUGUACAUUGCUAAGAAUAACAUAUAUAUACAUUUUGUAACACUUGAGAUGGUUUGGUCAAUGUCCAACGUCGAUAUCUAAAUACACUGGUCGGUAGGUGUGAAACCAUGAUGAGUGUAGGCGUUAAAAGGGGACGAGGUAAACCUAAAAUCAAAAUGGAAGGAAUUUGUCUCAAAAGACCUACAAUAUCUUGGAAUACAAGCAGAUAUAGCAAAAGAUAUGGCACAUUGGAAGAAAAAUAUCUAUAUAGGUGAUAACAACUAGUUGGAAAUAUGUUCUAGUCAUGGUAGAUUGGUAGUAGUUUACUUCAAUCCUAACGGUAUAAUUGAAAUUUAACAUUAAAAGGAUGGAAUUGUAAGUACUAAAGAGCUUUAUCAUUUGCUCAAUAAACUGUUUAAAAGUAAAUUCUCAUCUUUAUGAAGUUUCUUCAUGCAAAAUGAACUAUUUAACUGUUCUUCCAUCAAAGUUUGAACAGUUUAACUAAAUAGAUUUUUUAUGGUUUAUUGUUAUUAUUACUAUCUAAUGUUCCUUGUUCUUUUCCAAAAUGCUUUGUCUUGCUUUCUAUAGUAUUUUGCCAUUGUUCCUUCACUUUCGUUAUUUCCUUUUCUGACGUGCUUUGAUAUGCUUUCUUUUGAGCCAAGAACCUAUCGGAAACAACCUCUCUGGCUCACAAGGUAAGGGUAAGGUCUACGUACACUCUACCUUUCUCAGACCCUACUUGUGGGAUUACAUUGGGUAUGUUGUUGUUGUUGUUGUAUUAUUGUUAUUAUUACUGUUAAAUCUCUGACUAACCAGUCCUAAUUUCAAUAUUAUGUUCUUUAAAUAGUUGUUUUCCUGGUGAAUUAGGUACAAGGUGUAGCUUGAGGUUUUAAUGAGUUAUUUGCUUUUCUCAUCCACAGCGAAAUAAACAAGUACAAGAUCUAGAUUCUGAUAUUUUUUUUCCUCCAUAAUAUCAGAAUACCUUCUUCGAAGAGAUAAUCUAUAGAAACAUCUGAUCCUUUCUGCUGUGCUAGUUAAUAAAUCCGUGGCCAAUGUUGGUGACUUUUAAGAACAUUUUCUUUUCUAAGAGUGAAGUUAACAACCUAAUGUAAUCAUCAUCCGCUUUUCUCUUAUGUUAGCGUUGGAACAUUAGGAAGACAUCUCCCAUAUGUGGACAAGAGACUGUUGGGAUUUAGAAAAAUUGCUAUGAGGUUUGAGCAAAGGAUAUUUACUGCUGCUACAAGUCAGAUUUUCUGCGAAAGAUAUCUUUGAAGAUGGUGACUGUGGAGACAAAGUUGCAACAUCCUAUCUGCAACGAAACAGUGCAAGUAGUAGAUGAAAGCUCAAAAUUCCAGUGUAUGCAGUUGAUGCUAAAUCUCCAAAGGAAGAGUCUACUCUUCAUAAUUUACAAAGUGGAGAAGAUUGUGCACUGCUUGAUCGAUUUCAACAAAGAUCCGUCACAGAACAUGGAAACCUGGAAAAGAAAGGGGAUACUGGUCCUUCAGCUCAGGACCGUACCAUCUUUGAAUUGGGCAAUAAAUAGAAAAUGGAUAAGAUAUUUAAAAAGAUGUGGGGAAUUGGUGGAUCAAUUAGUUUAGAGGACCUUAAAUAGCAUUUUGGCAAGAACCGUGAAGAGGCUGCAGAAAGCCUUGAUGGUUAGCUUCCUGUUGGAACUUCAGAAUAAGCCUUUUCUAUUGAUUGCUAUUUUCUUGCUCUUGUUAGGAACUCUCCGAAGAUAUUAGAUUCCGCUUCAAAGGGGCCGUAAUAUGUGGUCUUCUUACUAUGGAAUCUUGUUUUUACAGUAAGUAUCUCUCCAAUUAAGCAAAUAUGUCGGGAACAUGGAAUAUCCCGGUGCCCGUAUAAAGAAAUAAAGAGAGCCAGGCGACUUUGACUCUCCAAUCUAAGCAGCAGUGCAACUGUUCCUGUAGCUGGCGGCGCACAAAUAUCAAUAUCCACAACUCCAACUGCAUUUGCAUCAACCAAAGUUUUAGUCAAAUUCAAUCAGCAGAAAUCACGGAGGUCUAAUCUAUCAUUAGGUAAUGAAAUUGGUACAUCAUUAAAUGAUGAUGUGCUAGGAAACAACAAAGGUACUGACAGGGAAAACAUUAUGAUUCAAAAGGGGGACUCAGCGGUUCAAGAAGUCUCAUACAAACCACAUGAAUUUGAGCCUUCCUGUGAUAGUCUCAUCCCUGCAUAUUCAUUGCUGAUGCUCCCACGAUCCUGUCUCCAUUGGCACAAGAAAGAAUACCAGCUAUAGAUUCACAUGUCCAACAGGGAGAAGAGAUUGCAAGACAAAUAGAGAUGACUGAUGGGGCUAGUUAUUUGGAGAAACAAUACUUGGGAAGGGAAAAACUCAGUUGUAAUACUGAAAAGGAGGUCAUUGUCUCUGUGGUUGGUUCAGCUUUAUAUGAUUUCAGAAAUGUUUCAGAGCAAAGACAAGAUCUUCUCGCUGAUUUUGCUUUGCUCCAUGAAGUUAAUAAAGAUCAAUUGAUCUCCAUGGACGACUUGAGUCUAAUGUUACAAGGGUCAAUUUAUGGUUGAAUCAAAAUCUGAACCUUCCAUACAAAAUGAUGCAAGGAGGAUGUAGUUGGUUUUCGAAAAGUUGAUUAUGCUGCCUCUAGAGGAUCUCACUAACCAAAUCAUGAAGCUUCCAUGAAAGAAGAUUUGACCAUACUUGCUGGCAACCUCUUAUUGUUUACAAAUGAACAAUCCAAACAACUAUUGGAAUUUAAGUUUGAUUUUCCAACCACAUCACGUAUUGCUGGAGAGAUUGUUCUCAGAGCAGAACUGAUUGUCAAAAUUUCUUGGCUGAAUUUGAGAAAACUAAGUCAUUGUUGGAGACUUCAACUAAAGAGGAGGAGGAUCUUAAGGAUAGAUAUACAUACACAAAUAGAGAAGAAGGAGAAGGAAAUGAUGGCACAAUUGGAGACAGUUCAAAAGGAGAAAAAUGAGAUAACUGAUCAGAGGAGUCAAAAAAUUAAUCAGACCAAGCAUUUGGUUGCUUUGGUAGAAGAUCAAGCAGGUAGAACCAAAGAGAAAGAGUUGCAGAUGACUAUUGCUAGAGCUAAAUUAGACAAAUUAAAGGACCAAUGGGUUUCAGUCCAAUCUUCCUUUAGUUAGGUUCUGUUCUUCCUUUUGGUUUCCCAGGUUUUCUUAAUAUUUAGUUGUACUUGCCUUUUUCUCUGUGUGAUAUAAUGCAUUUGUAUGUUUGUUCAUUAAUUCUGAUUGUGAGCCCUUAAAAAAGAGUUAUUAUAUGUCCUCUUUUCUCUUUCGUGUUCCUUCUUUUUAGAAUUUUAGGACGUGAUCAAUAAGAAUAUAAAAAUGUGUUUGCUAUAA